rnacentral:rRNA from 2 species
AGACCCGAAACCCGGUGAUCUAGCCAUGGGCAGGUUGAAGGUUGGGUAACACUAACUGGAGGACCGAACCGACUAAUGUUGAAAAAUUAGCGGAUGACCUGUGGCUGGGGGUGAAAGGCCAAUCAAACCGGGAGAUAGCUGGUUCUCCCCGAAAGCUAUUUAGGUAGCGCCUCGUGAAUUCAUCUCCGGGGGUAGAGCACUGUUUCGGCUAGGGGGCCAUCCCGGCUUACCAACCCGAUGCAAACUGCGAAUACCGGAGAAUGUUAUCACGGGAGACACACGGCGGGUGCUAACGUCCGUC